rnacentral:rRNA from 1 species
GUGAACGCUGGCGGUAGGCCUAACACAUGCAAGUCGAACGGCAGCACAGUAAGAGCUUGCUCUUACGGGUGGCGAGUGGCGGACGGGUGAGGAAUACAUCGGAAUCUACUUUUUCGUGGGGGAUAACGUAGGGAAACUUACGCUAAUACCGCAUACGACCUACGGGUGAAAGCAGGGGAUCUUCGGACCUUGCGCGAGUGAAUGAGCCGAUGUCGGAUUAGCUAGUUGGCGGGGUAAAGGCCCACCAAGGCGACGAUCCGUAGCUGGUCUGAGAGGAUGAUCAGCCACACUGGAACUGAGACACGGUCCAGACUCCUACGGGAGGCAGCAGUGGGGAAUAUUGGACAAUGGGCGCAAGCUUGAUCCAGCCAUACCACGUGGGUGAAGAAGGCCUUCGGGUUGUAAAGCCCUUUUGUUGGGAAAGAAAAGCAGCAGGUUAAUACCCCGCUGUUCUGACGGUACCCAAAGAAUAAGCACCGGCUAACUUCGUG